UGGCUCAGAUGGUAAAGCGUCUGCCUACAAUGCAGGAGACCUGGGUUCGAUCCCUG
rfam:Ovis aries breed Texel chromosome 11, whole genome shotgun sequence.